ensembl:lncRNA Lsm6 LSM6 homolog, U6 small nuclear RNA and mRNA degradation associated
CGCGCUUCGCGCCGGUUGGACUGAGCGCCCGAGGUUACCGUGGCGCGAGACUUCGGCGCCUCCUCCACUCGCGAAUCCGUGCGCGACGGAACGUCGUAAACGCGGACGAGCGGAGGAAAUGGUCCCUACUGAACGCUUCAGCUCACCAACUCCCUUUCUCUUGUGUGGGCCGGUUUCUGUUUGAGCUAAAACCACCAUUUCUUUUUUAAACCAGUUACCAGUACUUAGUUCUAUACUUAGAUUAAAAUGAGACAAGUUGUGAUUGUAAAGUUCUUUGGUCUUGUUUGGGCCCUCUGCUUUAUUGCGUGGAUCUCACAAAUAAUUCAGCUGUUUCCCUGACUGACACCUUUGGAUGAGCCUGGGGCCAUGACAAGUGAAAUGGUGAUGAGUUACCUGAGAUGCUAAUUAAGUAACAGAGGAGAUUAGAACUCAGGUUUCCUGCCUCCCAAGAUUGUUAAAAAUGAGUCUGCGGAAGCAAACCCCUAGUGACUUCUUAAAGCAGAUCAUCGGGCGCCCAGUUGUGGUGAAAUUAAACUCUGGCGUGGAUUACCGAGGGGUCCUGGCCUGCCUGGAUGGCUACAUGAAUAUAGCAUUGGAACAGACAGAGGAGUAUGUAAACGGACAGCUGAAGAAUAAGUAUGGAGACGCAUUCAUCCGCGGAAACAAUGUGCUGUACAUAAGUACACAGAAGAGGCGGAUGUGAAGACGCCAGGAGAGAGGCACUGCUCUUCAGCGAUGGAUAUAUGAUCACUCUUAUGAUCUUGGUGGCCUGUUUUUGUGGUGGCUGGUGGGGGUUUUGUUUUCUUUUGUUUUUUUAAUUGACAUCAGAAUAAGAUAGAGGUAUUACAUUACAGAUUGAAUCUUAAGCUUUUCACAUUUGUUUCAUUGCUUAUUAUUUCUGCCUGUACAGAUGCUAAAAUUAAAACAGUUUGUUUCUCAAGGAUUGUUUUACCUCAGGUUGCAAGCAGUGUCAUUUGUUGGUUGAGUACGCAUCCAACUGACUAAGCGGUACAUUCCGUGAUCAAGCCGUCUGGAGGCUUCCCUUGUCUCUUUCCCUGCUCACUCGCCAUCCAUAACAUUUAAAGCAGGUAGAUGAAAACCUUCUAGGAAGUCGUGUGGUUUCAGCCUUGUGCUAUAGAGAGACAAGAGGUCAGAAGUUGAGCUGUUGGUUUAGUCGCUGGUGCUGGUAUCCCCACAAGGAGUGCAGCUCUGUAGACCCUGUGGGCUUGUACAGGUUGGCCACAGCAGGUGAGAAGGUUGUUUGGAAUCCUCAAGCCGUCCUGCCGAUCCUCCUGUGCAGUUCAACUCUUUAUGUUAACUUGCUCCCUGACAAGAGUGUUGGCAGCAAUGGUAGGUUACUCCAAUCGAGGGGAGCUCAGCUGUCCCUCCGUCACUCUGGCCGUGCUUGAGGUGGUAUAAGCGCAGAGUCCCCGACCUCGGUUUCCAGGUGCUGAGCUGCUUUCUGUUUUAGCAGGUGGUCCUGGAGAGUGGUAUUCCGGAACAGGGUCGCUUGGCACAGGCAGAGCCUCCAGGUCAUGUGACUCCUGCUAAGUGCGUUGUGCUGUCUGUAGAGAUUGUGUUUGGGUGCUUCAGUUGCAUGGACACUGGGGCUUUUCUUAUCCCUCCUUCAAUCUAAACAGAAUCCCUGGCUCAGGAGGUGGGACAGUUUUGGAACAAUUGCCUGGCUGAGGGAAGUAAGAGAGAUGGGAAGCUAGGGAGGGAGGGAGGGCAUACUUUCUGGAGAGGUGCAUAUAUGCCAUUUGUCUCGUUUAACUAGUAAUCAGAAACAGUUAAUAACUCAGGAAAGACAAAAAAUGUUUUGUAAGGUUUGAUGGUGUGCACACUGAAAAUAAAACACUUUAUCCUAAGCUUCAGUAAUUCAUCACUUCCUGACAGGGGCUUGAAAAGGGACCAGUGUGUAAGUACAAAUCACCAAUUUGCUCUUUUAUAAAUGGCUUCUUUAAAGGAGAAAAUGGAUGUCUCUCAGAGUGGAGCACACAUGUUCUCAUUUGUUUUUAGAGUGUGUGAGGCUGCCAGGUUACUGUGUCCCUUCAUUCACUCACUCAGCCGCCCCUGAAAGCAGUUGUAGCAUCCCCCACCAGUCUGUAGCAUCCCGUCUUCGCUCAUUUCUUCCCUGACCUCUCCUCCAGCAUGUGGGCCUUUAUUUCCCUCUUGCCAUUUCUGGCUUAAUAGCUCGACUGCAGAAUGUUGUUUUCAUCCAUAGAACCGCUUUUAAUCAAGACCGACUUUGGGAACUGCUACCGUUUUUAUGGUAAUAAAGAACCAUAUGCAUCUGGACCAGCACAUGUUGUCCCCUGUGCAUACCUUCUUGUGAUAGAAUUCUGAAACAAAUUGUAAAUGCUAAAAUUACUUUUCCUUAACUGUAGUCUCCUCAUGGUCUGUGAAUGGUUUUUGGUUGGAUUGUAGCAAAGACAAUUGUUCUAGGGUGAAAAUUUUUUCACUUGAGUAAAUACAUUUUCCUUGUUCCUAUGCUCCCAAACCAUAGUUGCCACCAUCUUUCUCCUGGACUAUGACAAAACAGAAUGUCUGACAGGAAACAGAACUUGUGCUUGGUUUCUAGACGAUCUGCCUUCACAUUUUGUUUUGGUCUGUGAGCUUUUCCUUGGCUAGUCUUGCAGGCUGAAUCAAUUCUUACUUCAAAGUGUUUAUCCCAAACAGAGCCGUAGAGGAGCACAAAUACAGAUGGCGGCCAUGCGGUUGGAACCGUGUUCUCCUUCAGCCUGCAGGGAGGAUUCACAUCUCAGCGUCUUGUCUGAGGCCAUAUGUAAUGCACGCUAGGAUUCCGAGAUGCGACGGAUAGCAAGUGCUUCAGGGGUUUCCUCAAGGUCGAACCAGCAGCAUCGCCCUGGAGGCUCCAGCCAACUUCAUUAGACACGAGCUCAGGGAAGACUGUGGUGUUCACAGUGGCUCCCGUGUGACGCAUUCCAGGAGCCAGUCUGUCCCCUCACUGAGACUGGAGACAUGCCCACCUUUAAAGUGCCUUCUGCUUUGAGAGAAGAUGCUGGUCCAGAGUAUUGGCUUGCUGCUGUUGUGGGAAGAUCUCAACCAUGCUGUAGUCUUGGCAUUCUCACAGCCAGUCUACAGUUGCUAAGUUUUGUUUGUUUUUCCUGCCCCAAAACAACUAUUGGUGAAAAGAAGACAAACUUUGGCUUUCCCCUCACCUGACCUUCAACCCACCCUAGUCUAAUAAGGUGGCUUCUGACACCAGUGAGCCCACUUCUAAGAUUACAAGGCUAGGUGUGGUCUGAUCUGAAUAUCUAGCAGUGGCUUUAAUCCCUGUAGCUGCUGCCUUUUCUACUGGAUGUGGCAAGGCAGCCAUGAGGGCGUCCGUUGACCAGCCAGCCAUGACUCCACUGAAGUCUUGCCUAAAGGUCAGGAUGGACGUAUGCAUCCCUGUGUACAGGGCAAGAGACAGCCCCAAAUGAUGCUUACUUUGUCCUCCGCUUGCUUAGUGUCUUAGUUGGGUUUUACUGCUGUGCACAGACACCAUGACCAAGGCACCUCUUAAAAGGACAGCAUUUUCUUGGGGCUGGCUUACAGCUUCAGAGGUUCAGUCUAUUAUCAAGGUGGGAGCAUGGCAGCAUCCAGAUAGGCAUGGUGCAGGCAGAGCCGAGAGUUCUACCUCUUCAUCUGAAGGCUGACCUUCUGGCAACUAGGACAAGGGUCUUAGAGCCCACAACCUCAGUGACACACAGCCUGGCCACACCUACAAAUAGUGCCACUCCCUGGGCCAAACAUAUUCAAACCACCACAUUUUCUUUCUUGAAAAGUUAGUGGCGGUAACUAGGGAGGGGAUUUGAAGAAACAUCAGCCCCCGUUGAAUGGCAGCUGUGGGCAGGAUCUAUGUGAUACCCUAAUUAGUAAAUGAGACACUACCCACUAUGCACGAUGGGGUUCACUUGCAAGUCUGGCUAUUUAUGGGAGAAAGUAUGCCACACUGUCUUUAGAUGGGACAGGAUUUUGAAAAUAGUUUAUUAAUGCAUUUGGUGUCUCAGCUGUGUUCAUACCUUAAAAUUUCAGAUGAACUUGGAACUGGAAAACCUUGAGAUCUGACUAUUUCCAUCUAUUUGUUGAUGGAUCUGUUGGCUUCCUGUUUUUACACAUUUUUAUCUAUCCAGCAAAAGCCAGAUUUUCUGAUUUAACUAAAUUGCCAUGCUCUCUGCACCCCACCCUUUUACUCUCCAGUCUGAAUGCCAUCAUCUGCAGCAUUGAAGGAUUUUAUUUUCUUGGUGUAGUAGUUUGAUGUCUGUACAGCAUACAGAAAUGUAAGCAUUUUAGAACUUUAAAAAAAUCAUUCAACAUUUGAACAAUUAAGAUAGAUCAGUUUUCAAUGCUUGCUUUACAGAACUGGUCAAGUCCAUGUGGACUCCAGUUAAUCCAAGCCUUCUAAUGGAAAUGAUUCUGGUGUGUUUGGAAAACAUACACACACACACACACACACACACACACACACACACACACACACACACACACCUGGGUUAAAGGAGGACUUUGUGAAAGCCUACAUAAAAUAAUUUCAGAGAAAUGGGUUUAUUACCACAAACUUCAUGUGUUAGUCCAAACACUACUCUGUGCUUCUGUCCGAAGCCCUAUCAAAAUUGCAACGAAGAGGAAAAGCUAAGGGUGUUGUGAACUGCUGAGUAAAUGAUGGCAGGACAGAACAGGACAGGACAGCUUCCCCUCCCGACUGGUGUCAUAGACAGUUUCCAAAUCCUAAAAGUCUGAAACAAGUCAGAGGAGCCCAUAGGUAAAGCUCUCCUUGUGGACACGGCGAGAGUGUUGAGUCAGUCCCUAGCUCUUGUGAUUUUGCUUAGACUUGAUGUCACUUGCUUCUGUAUCCUAUUAGCCAAGCAAGUUGCAUGGUCAUGAUUUAAGUUUUUCCAGAAAAAUAGGAUCCUUUCAUGUACACAGAAAACCAAAAUCCCAGCAGAGAUUGGUUAAACUGUGUGUGUGUAUCAAUCAUACUUCUCCGUGGAAACGGGGUGAUAUGCAGAGAGCUGUGUGAAGGAAGUAACAUUCCGGCACUGUCAGGGUUGCAGUUUGAGCCUGCAGUUAUUCUGUUAGAUACUCCUGUUUGUCUAAGGUCAGUCUUAUUAUUAAAACCUUCAGCUGGUUGGAUGAAGCCCAGUGGCAAGGUAAAGAAAGAUAUGUAGGCUGUUAGUUCAGUCUUUUUACUAAAGUGUUAAUCUCAUUUAGAAAAUACUCAGACAGGGUAGUGUUUGACCACACAGCCCAUUUAUCACAAAAUCAGCCAUGUGUUAACUGUAUCCUUUGCCUUAUCAGUGUCCUUAGCAGCCCUCUAUGAAACGUAUAGAAGCAGAGUCGGUGAGAUUUUUAUUGCAUUGAAAAGGGAAUCUUUUAAGACUGAGUUCGUGAGACCCGUGUCCCUGAUGUCUUACUUAAUCAGAACAACGACAGAUAGUGGCGGCUCUUUCAAGGCCUCAGAAGCGGGGUCUGUCUGGGUGGAUUGGUUAUGCCAGGUUGGCUUGCAGAAUUCCAGGCUAAUGCAUUUCUAGAUUUCAAUACAUCAAUAUAUUGGGUAAAGCCAAUAUAUCUUCUACCCACAGUGUAGGUGGGUGGUAAUGGAACUUUCAGUCUGCCUUACUGUUAAACGUGUUUCAAAGGUGUGGAUUGUGUAACAUCGGAACAGUCUAUGCGUUGGGUUUCUAUGGCUUGGUUUUUAGGCAUCCAAAACCCCUUGCGUGUGUCUUUACCCGGAGAAUGAAUAUGCAGGCUCAUUCAGAAUGGUGCAGUCAUUAGGACUGGACUCACAGUUUGCUUGUUUCCUUCUGGCUAUGAGAUCUUUGGUGGUGUCUCGCUUCAGACCCACUUGUAAAGGGGAUUUUGAUUCCUUUAGAAACACAGAAAUAUAAGAAUAUGUUUGGGGUUUAAUCCCAGGUGUAGGAUAUGGGGCUGCUUCAGAUCGUCUGUAGCAGCUGACUAGUUUUCCUUGUGCCUGGCAGGGGUGUGAUUUUGCCAGCAGCAGAUAGUUUCUGCAAGUGUAUGACAUGUGGAAUUCUGGGCAUUUUUCCGAGGGCAAAUAAAUGCUAAGGCAUCAAGAGGUGUGGUUUGUUGUUGGCUGGUCGCCCUUGGUUGUUCCUUGAGGUUUGUUAACUGGUUGUGCCCAAAGAAGAAAUUAGAUAUCCUGACAGUGAAGAUCAGACGUGCCCCAAGGAACUCCCCAGCUAGGAGGAGUAUUCUAACGAUAAUGUUCCCCUUUCCUUUCCGUUCUUUGUUCUCUCCUGUCUAUAGUUAGGGCUUUGAAAGGGUGGAGAAGAGUGAAUGAAAGAACAACCCCACAAAGAGUGACACCCGUUCACUCCAGAUCGCUAGCAUGGGCGUGGGUGCUUGCAAGGUGUUUUUUCCAGCAUCUCAGCAGAGAGCAGUAGAGGAGCAGCGUGGGGAUCAACACUUCUACACAUGCAUACACUCUGAUGCCAGCAGAACUAAUCCUGUGUCCUCCCUUCAUGGUCACUAAGAACUUUUGUCAGAUGAAGAAACUUGAGGAAAAAUUGUCAGGAUAAUCUGGGGAGUUACUACAGUCAGAAAAACCACACUUGAAUGCUGGGUUCCUUCGUUUCUAUCAAUAAAUCAAUUUUCUUUCCUCCUAUUCAUGGAGCAGAAAAAAAUGCCAAGAUGUACACGUAAGCUGCUGUCCUUCACGUUGAGAGAUGAUGCAGCAGUCUGUUCCUGCGGUGUUCACAGAGGAACAGCAGUAAGCCUUUUGACCCCAGGCCAAAGGAGAAACCUGCCCCCCAGCUUGUGGCUACAGGCACUACUUGCAGACUGUUGGCUUUUGAAAUGUCCAUCUUUUAAAGUGUUUUUCCUUUCUAGAAUCUUCCAGUUCCAGUUACUGUUCACCAGUUCUCUCAGCAGAGGGUGAGCAACUUGAGGCAGUACACUGCAGAGCGGAGACAGGCCGGGUCCUGCCUCCUUCCCCCAAGCCCAACGCUAGCUCCAUUUGUUCUGUAAAACAGACACUUUUGUUCAGAUGUGUAAGGGCAACUAGAGGUAAGAUGCCUCAUCUAAAUCCGAAGUGGCCACCAAAGGCCGCGUGAGAAAGGCUUGGUCACCAGCUUACUAUUGGGAGGUACUGGGACUUUUUAGGAGGUGGGGCUUAUUAGGUUUUAAGUCAUUAGGACAUGGUUUUGAAGAGUGGGUUAAAAUUCCUUCCCUUCCCUUGUGUUUCUUUGCUUCUUGGCUUUGCUUUCUAUGAUGUUUUGCCUCACCAGAAGCCCAAAGCAAUAGAACCACCUGAUCAUGGACUGGAAAAACUGAGAAGAAAAAUGGGGCAUCUUACUAAGUUGAUUCUUCUCAAGUGUUUUGUCAAUGUGAGAAAGAGCUGACUCCUGUCACGUGACCUCCUCCCUACCCACCGCCCCCACUCUGCCAUAAUGCCUGUGCUGGGGUGUGCUCUUAUCCCGUGUCCACGCUUCCAGUUGUGCAUUUACUUCCAACCAGGCCAUGCUGUGUGUUUUGCCAGUACAUCUUAUUUUGUGUUUUAGUUACAGUUUCUCAUUUGAUCUCAUAUUUUUUCAACACAUUUAAGAAACAUUUGAAAUAGAAAAAGUGUUGGAGGGAGGCAGAGUAACAGCAAAGAGGGGAGAUGAAUGGAAAGUUUGUAAGCUUUUUCAGAUCUAGUUCCAGUGAACAAACUAUACCUAUUUAUUUGUGGUUCAGUACAGAGAUUUAAGAGAACAUGCUAAUUCUAAUCAUUGCAAAUUAUAUUGGAAAAUGUAGUCAAAACCAUCUUCCUUCAAUUCAAAAUGAGUAUGUGAAUCAGUCCUGACUCAUGUUUUCUAGGUGGUUAGCAGAUAUAAAUAUGGUUUCGUAUACGAUAUCACAAUAAAAUCCUUCCAUUUUACAAAUUAAAAAAAAAGAAAAGAAAAAAUGUUCAUUGAAUCUGAUCAUUUUGUAAACUGAGGAAGAUCCUGUGAUGUCAAGGUGUAAACAGCCCUGACCCAGUGACCUACUAAUUUCCAUGUAAAGAGAAAGAGUGAAACAUGUAGUUGAAGAAACAGUUCAGGGCGGGAGGUGUAGCUCAGUUGGCUGGGUGCUAACAGCAUGGGUUUGACCCCAGGAACAACACACACACCAGGUAAGAAAUCGGGAGACUCUCCUCCCCAAUUGAGCUAUGCUUUUCUGAGCAAACAUCAUCUGUCUCUUCAGAGAAGUGGAAUUAG